rnacentral:rRNA from 1 species
UGAGGAAUAUUGGUCAAUGGGCGAGAGCCUGAACCAGCCAAGUAGCGUGCAGGAUGACGGCCCUACGGGUUGUAAACUGCUUUUAUGAAGGAAUAAAGUCACCCACGUGUGGGUGUUUGCAUGUACUUUAUGAAUAAGGACCGGCUAAUUCCGUGCCAGCAGCCGCGGUAAUACGGAAGGUCCGGGCGUUAUCCGGAUUUAUUGGGUUUAAAGGGAGCGUAGGCCGCCUGGUAAGCGUGUUGUGAAAUGUCGUUGCUCAACAACGUCACUGCAGCGCGAACUGCCGGGCUUGAGUGUGCGGAAA